rnacentral:lncRNA from 1 species
AUGAUCGAUCGAUGAGAUUAAUAUUUUUAGACAAAAUUUAUUUGAACAAUCCGAAAAAUCAAAGGAAAAAAAUACGAAACCAGUUUUUGUAGUUUUUGAACCUCCAUUAACGUGCAUGCUUCUGCAUUCAAAAACGAUGGUUAUGGCUGCUCAAAGAGACACAACUCUUCAAGUAAAAGACACAUUGUUUUGGGAAAAGGUAUGACUAUUUGAAUGGUUGUGGCUGUUCGAAAAACACACAAUAUUUCAAAUGGACAGACAUGACUGUUCUAAAGGACACACCUUUUCCGCUAAACCAUUGUCACCUUUUGAAAGGGGCAUUUGAUGGCUAUAUAAACUUGCAUUUUUUCACAAGUUUAGUAUGAAUUUUCUGUAUUUACAAACACUUCUUGUCUUCAAAAUUCUCCGUGUAAUCAUCUAAUCGUUAAGCGAGUUCAAAGAAAAUCUGAUCGUUUAAGGUACCACUACAGUCGGAUUGUUAGACCAUUUUAUCUUGGGAGAAAAAUUCCACUAUCUCGGGUAUUUGAGGGGAAUUAUUUCCUUAAGGACACUCCGUGAAUUCGGAGGACUUGGCUUUUUCUAUUUCAUCUAAUUUUCUGGAAAAAAAACUUCUUUGAAAGAUCAUUUUGAUCCUAUGUUGAAGGUGUUGGUGUACUUCAUAAGUGUUCUUAAUUUAUUCUUGAACAUAUGUUUAAGUUAUUUUGCCGAAAUACAGAUUCUUGUAUACCCGAAACAACAACAUUAAGGAAAUAACUAAUUUUCAGAAUAUGUAUUGUUUGGUUUCUGGAGAUUAAAGUUUUAAGCUUUCUACUCCGUUUGAACUUAACUAGUAGUUAAAGAUCACUCGGUUGACGAUUGAAAGUCAUAAAAACUCCAUCCUUAAACUAGAAACAAGAGGUGUUUAAAGUUGCUACAACUUAUAAGUAGUAUUUCCAUAUACUAAAAUUUACUGUCUUUUUGUGACAGAAAAAUGACUACGGGCAGUCAUGUGCAUGAUACUACAAUGACUGUGGCAGCAAUUAAUGUUGCCACAACGAGUCGUACGAGUACUCCGCAGGCAAUGGCACCAGCGGAAAAAGUCAAAAAAUUCACAAGUGUUGAUUUCAAAGGGUGGCAACAGAAGAUGUUCUUUUACCUUACAACUUUAUGUCUUCAAAGAUUCACAUCUGAAGAAGCUCCAGAGGUGCCCGAGGAAACUUCGAACCAGGAGAAAUUUGUUUUUAUGGAGGCUUAGAAACACUCUAAUUUCCUAUGCAGGAAUUACAUUCUAAGUGGUCUCCAGAUGACCUAUACAACGUGUAUAGUAGAACGAAGACGACAAAAGAGUUGUGGGGUGCGCUAGAAAAAAAAUACAAAACUGAGGAUGCUGGAACCAAAAAGUUCUUCGUUGCAAGAUUCUUGAAGUAUAAAAUGAUUGACAACAAGUUUGUUGUAUCCCAAGUACAGGGACUGCAAGUUAUCAUCUACGAUCUCUUUGCGGAAUGUAUGAUUUUGGUAAAUACCUUAGCUGAACAUGUUAAAAAUGUUCUUAAUGUUCACAUAAACUUUAUUGUAGGUUUAGCCGUGAAUGAGGCAUUUCAAGUCGCGGCAAUAAUAGAGAAAUUACCACCUAUGUAGAAGGACAUUAAGAACUACUUGAAACAUAAGUGAAAGAAGAUGACAGUCGAAGAUCUUAUAGUGAUACUGCACAUUGAAGAAGACAACAACGUCGCGAAAAGAAGGUCGAGAGAAAAUUCUGCAAUGAAUGGAGCAAACAUUGUAGAAGACGACCACCACAACUCGAAAAAAUGAAAGAAAACUGAACAUGAAAGCAAUCAACCUAAGAAGAAAUUUAAGGAAAAAUGCUUUAAUUGUGGCAAAAUUGGCCACAAAUCAACAAAUUGUCGUGCCCCAAAGAAAGACAAAAAGGAGGACCAAGCAAAUAUGGCUGAAUCCAAAAAAAAAAUGGACGAUCUGUGUGUCAUGCUAUCUGAAUGCAACUUGAUGGAAAAUCCUUGAGAAUGGUAGAUGGAUUUCGGUGCCACCCGCCAUGUUUGUGCAAAUAAGGAGUUAUUUGCUACGUUCUCUCCGGCUCAAGCCAAGGAAAAAAUUUACAUGGCAAACACCGCUACUGCAAAAGUAAAAGAAACAAGAAAAGUAUGCUUGAAAAUGACUGCAGGCAAAGUGUUGACUCUCAACAAUGUCCUGUAUGUAUCAGAGUUAAAAAAGAACUUGAUUUGUGUAUCACUUCUUGACAAAAACGGAUUAAAAUGUGUCACUGUUUUCAAAAAAGUUAUAAUUAGCAAAUGAGAAGUGUACGUAGGAAAAGGCUAAUUCACUGAGGGUCUUUAUAAGAUGAAUGUAAUGACUAUUGAAAUCAAUAAAAGUUUAGCUUCUUCUUACUUGCUUGAGUCUAAUGAUUUGUGGCAUAAACGAUUAGGACAUGUCAAUUAUAAGACUUUGCAAAAACUGAUUAACUUAGAAGUUUUGCCAAACUUUGAGUGUAAUAAAUCAAAAUGUCAAACGUGUGUGAAAUCAAAGUAUGCUAAGCAUCCUUAUUUGUGAUAUGAAGUCAACACCAUCUCGUGGUGAAAAAAAUAUUUUAUAAUUUUUAUUGACUAUUGUACUAGAUAUUGUUAUGUCUAUUUUCUAAAGAGUAAGGAUGAAAUAAUAGAUACUUUUAGGCAAUACAAAACAGAAGUUGAAAAUCAGUUAGAGAAAAAGAUCAAAACUAUAAGAAGUGAUAGGGGCGGAGAAUAUGAAUCUCCCUUUGCAGAAAUAUGUAGAGAAUGGAAUUGUUCAUCAAACUAUGGCCCCGUAUUCACCUCAAACUAAUAAAAUUGCGGAAAGAAAAAACUGAACCUUGAAGAAAAUAUGAAUCCCCUACUUAUAAGUUCAGGUUGACCACAAAACUUGUGGGGAAAAGCUAUCCUUACAGCUAACCGAAUAAUCAAUAGAGUGCCCCAGAGUAUGACACAAUCAAUUUCAUAUGAAAAAUGGAAAGAAAAAAAAACCAACUUGAAAUAUUUUAAACAGUGGGGGUGUCUAGCGAAGGUCCACGUUCCUAUGCCUAAAAGGGUAAAGAUAGGACCUAAGACGGUGGAAUGCGUGUUCAUAGGAUGUGUUAGAAGUAGUAAAGCAUGUCAAUUUUUGGUUCAUAAAUCCGAACAUUCGGAUAUCAAUGAAAAUAUGGUAAUUGAAUCAGAUAAUGCUGAAUUCUUUGAACACAUUUGUUCAUAUAAAACUAGACAUGAACAGUCUAGUGGGGGGACUAAACGACCUUGAGAUAAACCAGGUGAGGAUGUACAUAAUGAUGAGAAUCUAAGACGUAGUACACAUCAAAGAACGUCAACUUUAUUUAGAUCAAAUUUUGUAACAUUUCUCUUAGAAAAUGAACCUCAAAUAUUUAAAGAAGCGAUGUCGUCGUCAGACUCAUUCUUUUAGAAAGAGACAGUCAAUAGUGAGAUUGAUUCAAUCUUAAGCAACCAUACAUGGAAAUUGGUUGAUCUUUCUCCCGAAAAUAAAUCUUUAGGUUCUAAAUGGAUCUUCAAAAGAAAAAUGAUAACAAAUGAUACUAUUGAAAAAUACAAGUCAAGAUUUGUAGUAAAAGGCUUCAAACAAAAAGAAGACCUUGAUUACUUUGAUACAUACUCACUAGUAACAAGGAUAACAUCGAUUCGAACGUUAAUUGCCUUGGCUGCGGUAUAUGGUCUUGAAAUCCAUCAAAUGGAUGUGAAAACCACUUUCCCAAAUAGAGAAUUAGAGGAAGAAAUAUACAUGGAACAACCUGAGGGUUUUGUGGUUCCAGAAAAGGAAAACAAGGUGUGUGAACUUAUUAAGUCAUUGUAUGGACUAAAGCAAACACCUAAACAAUGGCAUGCAAAGUUUGACCAAACCAUGUUGGCAAAUGGAUUCAAAAUAAAUGAAUGUGAUGAAUGUGUUUACAUUAAAGACAUUUCAAAUCACCAAGUCAUUGUUUGUUUUAUGAAAGACCUUGGAGUUGCAGAUGUGAUCUUAGGAAUAAAAAUCCAUAGAACUUCACAAGGUUUGGCAUUGUCACAGUUUCAUUACAUCGAAAAGGUACUUGAUAAAUUCUAGUAUUUGAAAUUUGGUAUUGCCAAAACUCCAUGGGACAUGAGCUUUGCACUUCAAAAGAAUGAAAGUGAAAGUGACUCACAGUUAGAGUACGCAAGAGUGUUGGGAUGUUUAAUGUAUAUAAUGAAUUGUACACGACCGGACACAGCAUGUAUACACUAUGUAUACACUAUGAUAUUCAAGCUGCAAUAGGUAGGGCGGGGAGCAUGAUGUACAACGGUAAUUCUCCUCGCAUAAGACGGAGACAUAAUACCGUUAGAGAAUUUCUCUUUAGUAGAAUUAUCAUUGUUGACUAUGUGAAGUCAAAGGAUAAUGUGUCGGAUCCACUUACAAAAGGCCUAUCUAGAUAAGGAGUUGAAAAGACAUCCAAGAGCAUGGGUUUACGGCCUAGGACAAGUCAACAUGGUGGUAAUUCUACCUAGCAGACCGGAAAUCCUAAGAGCUAGGUUCAAGGAGAUCAAACAAAGUUGUGUCUGACAGAUUCAACAUUGUCAAUAUACCCAAUCCAUUCUUAUGAUGUAGACAAUAUUUAGUAAACAAGGAUAAGACUUAUGGGGUGAAGUUUUUUAAUGAUUAUCAAAUUUAGCAGAUUUGACCAAAUAGUUUAAUCUAUAGGAUUGAACAUUUAGAAAUCAACUAUGCGAGGGCGAAGUGGAAGCCGCUUCAAGGAGAAUGUUAGUAAAGGCAUAUUCUCUAAGCUGCUUAUUCUCUAAGCUCUUAUGAGAUCGGGACGUAUUCAUGGAUGAAACGAAUAAAAUCGUGAGAACCAUAAAUGGUAAAAGGCUGGUUGUGUGACAUGUGUUGUCUAGGUGUACAUUAAAGUUCGACGGUUUAAUGAUAUCAAAUCUCUCGAUUGACCGAGUGCAUCUGAUGCAUGUUUACUACGGAAAGUUCAAAGGGAAACCCACUUAUCCAGAUGCAAUCAGUCUUUGUUUGAUGAUCACAUACUUGUCCGUAAAGUUUUACGAAAAAAAAUAGUCAUUCUCCAUUCAUGUGGAGAUUGUUGGGUUCAAGAUUAAAGUAAAAUUAAAGUGUGAAUGAAAAAUGGAGGGAACCAAGUGGAGGAAAAAAUUGAGAUAACACUCAAAAAUGAAAAGUGUAUCAAAAGUAGAAAGUUUAUUAAUUCUCCCACAUUGGUGGGAGAAUGAAACUUUCAAGUGUUUAUAUUAAGAAACACUUACUCCACCUGGUAAGUGAGGCAAAAACCACAAGGUGUCUCGCGUCGUCGUCGCUCAGCUUCGGCUUUGGAUUUGGAUUUGGAAAAUGAUCGAUCGAUGAGAUUAAUCUUUUUGGAUAAAAUUUAUUUGAACAGUCCGAAAAACCAAAGGAAAAAAAACGUAACUAGUUUUUGUAGUUUUUAAACCUUCAUUAACGUGCAUACUUCUACAUGCAGAAAUGAUGGUUGUAGUUGCUCGAAGAGGCACAACUUUUCAACUAAAAGAUACACUAUUUCGGAAAAAGAUAUGACUGUUUGGACGGUUGUGGUUGUUCGGAAAAGACACUCUUUUUAUGAUGGACAGACAUGAUUGUUCAGAAAGAAUACACCUUUCCGGUGAACUAUUGCCACCUUUCGGAAGAGGCACCUAAUGGCUAUAUAAACCUGCAUUUUUCCACAGGUUUAGAUACGAAUUUUUC